rnacentral:rRNA from 1 species
UACAGAGGAUGCAAGCGUUAUCCGGAAUGAUUGGGCGUAAAGCGUCUGUAGGUGGCUUUUUAAGUCCGCCGUCAAAUCCCAGGGCUCAACUCUGGACAGGCGGUGGAAACUACCAAGCUGGAGUACUGUAGGGGCAGGCGGAAUUCCGGGUGUAGCGGUGGAAUGCGUAGAGAUCCGGAGGAAGACCGGUGGCGAAGGCGGCCUGCUGGGCAGUUACUGACACUGAGGCGCGACAGCGUGGGGAGCAAACAGG